rnacentral:rRNA from 1 species
GACGAACGCUGGCGGCGUGCUUAACACAUGCAAGUCGAACGGAAAGGCCCUGCUUUUGUGGGGUGCUCGAGUGGCGAACGGGUGAGUAACACGUGAGUAACCUGCCCUUGACUUUGGGAUAACUUCAGGAAACUGGGGCUAAUACCGGAUAGGAGCUCCUGCUGCAUGGUGGGGGUUGGAAAGUUUCGGCGGUUGGGGAUGGACUCGCGGCUUAUCAGCUUGUUGGUGGGGUAGUGGCUUACCAAGGGUUUGACGGGUAGCCGGCCUGGGAGGGUGACCGGCCACAUUGGGACUGAGAGACGGACCAGUCUCGUACGGGAGGCAGCAGUGGAGAAUAUUGCACAAUGGGCGGAAGCCUGAUGCAGCAACGCCGCGUGCGGGAUGACGGCCUUCGGGUUGUAAACCGCUUUCGCCUGUGACGAAGCGUGAGUGACGGUAAUGGGUAAAGAAGCACCGGCUAACUACGUG